AGUGAACGCUGGCGGCAGGCCUAACACAUGCAAGUCGAACGGCAGCACAUUAAUAGCUUGCUCGUACGGGUGGCGAGUGGCAGACGGGUGAGGUAGACAGCGGAAUCUACUUUUUCGUGGGGGAUAACGAAGGGAAACUUACGCUAAUACAGCAUACGACCUACGGGUGAAAGCAGGGGCUCUUCGAGCCUUGGGCGAUAGGAGGAGCCGGUGUCGGAUUAGCUAGUUGUCGGUGUAAUGGCCUACCAAGGCGACGAUCAGUGGCUGGUCGGAGAGGAGGACCGGCCACGCUGGGACUGGGAGACGGCCCGGGCUACUAUGGGAGGCAGGAGUGGGGAAUUUUCCGCAAUGGGCGAAAGGGUGAAGGAGCAAUGCGGGGUGGAAGUAGAUUUUCUACGGGACGAAAACUUCUUUUCCCAGAGCAGAAGUUAUGACGGGAUCCGAAGAAUAAGCAACGGCUAACUCUGUG
rnacentral:rRNA from 1 species